AAAUUGAAGAGUUUGAUCAUGGCUCAGAUUGAACGCUGGCGGCAGGCCUAACACAUGCAAGUCGAGCGGUAGCACAGAGAGCUUGCUCUCGGGUGACGAGCGGCGGACGGGUGAGUAAUGUCUGGGAAACUGCCUGAUGGAGGGGGAUAACUACUGGAAACGGUAGCUAAUACCGCAUAAUGUCGCAAGACCAAAGUGGGGGACCUUCGGGCCUCAUGCCAUCAGAUGUGCCCAGAUGGGAUUAGCUAGUAGGUGGGGUAAUGGCUCACCUAGGCGACGAUCCCUAGCUGGUCUGAGAGGAUGACCAGCCACACUGGAACUGAGACACGGUCCAGACUCCUACGGGAGGCAGCAGUGGGGAAUAUUGCACAAUGGGCGCAAGCCUGAUGCAGCCAUGCCGCGUGUGUGAAGAAGGCCUUCGGGUUGUAAAGCACUUUCAGCGGGGAGGAAGGCGUUAAGGUUAAUAACCUUGGCGAUUGACGUUACCCGCAGAAGAAGCACCGGCUAACUCCGUGCCAGCAGCCGCGGUAAUACGGAGGGUGCAAGCGUUAAUCGGAAUUACUGGGCGUAAAGCGCACGCAGGCGGUCUGUCAAGUCGGAUGUGAAAUCCCCGGGCUCAACCUGGGAACUGCAUUCGAAACUGGCAGGCUAGAGUCUUGUAGAGGGGGGUAGAAUUCCAGGUGUAGCGGUGAAAUGCGUAGAGAUCUGGAGGAAUACCGGUGGCGAAGGCGGCCCCCUGGACAAAGACUGACGCUCAGGUGCGAAAGCGUGGGGAGCAAACAGGAUUAGAUACCCUGGUAGUCCACGCCGUAAACGAUGUCGAUUUGGAGGUUGUGCCCUUGAGGCGUGGCUUCCGGAGCUAACGCGUUAAAUCGACCGCCUGGGGAGUACGGCCGCAAGGUUAAAACUCAAAUGAAUUGACGGGGGCCCGCACAAGCGGUGGAGCAUGUGGUUUAAUUCGAUGCAACGCGAAGAACCUUACCUGGUCUUGACAUCCACAGAACUUAGCAGAGAUGCUUUGGUGCCUUCGGGAACUGUGAGACAGGUGCUGCAUGGCUGUCGUCAGCUCGUGUUGUGAAAUGUUGGGUUAAGUCCCGCAACGAGCGCAACCCUUAUCCUUUGUUGCCAGCGGUCCGGCCGGGAACUCAAAGGAGACUGCCAGUGAUAAACUGGAGGAAGGUGGGGAUGACGUCAAGUCAUCAUGGCCCUUACGACCAGGGCUACACACGUGCUACAAUGGCAUAUACAAAGAGAAGCGACCUCGCGAGAGCAAGCGGACCUCAUAAAGUAUGUCGUAGUCCGGAUUGGAGUCUGCAACUCGACUCCAUGAAGUCGGAAUCGCUAGUAAUCGUAGAUCAGAAUGCUACGGUGAAUACGUUCCCGGGCCUUGUACACACCGCCCGUCACACCAUGGGAGUGGGUUGCAAAAGAAGUAGGUAGCUUAACCUUCGGGAGGGCGCUUACCACUUUGUGAUUCAUGACUGGGGUGAAGUCGUAACAAGGUAACCGUAGGGGAACCUGCGGUUGGAUCACCUCCUUA
rnacentral:rRNA from 1 species